rnacentral:rRNA from 1 species
UCGAGCGGGACUGUUUGAGAUUAUAUCAAUGGCAGUUUAGCGGCAGACGAGUGAGUAACACGUAAGAAAUCUACCCCGAAGUCGGGAACAACUUGCCGAAAGGUGAGCUAAUACCCGAUAUAAUCCCGAAAUGGCAUCAUUUUGGGAUGAAAGGCGUGAGUCGCUUUGGGAGGAUCUUGCGACCUAUCAGCUAGUUGGUGAGGUAACGGCUCACCAAGGCUUUGACGGGUAGCCGGCCUGAAAGGGCGACCGGCCACGGAGGCACUGAGACACGGGCCUCACUCCUACGGGAGGCAGCAGUGGGGAAUUUUGGACAAUGGGGCAACCCUGAUCCAGCAACGCUGCGUGAAGGACGAAGGUCUUCGGAUUGUANACUUCUUUUGUCCGGGACGAAAUCCCGCAAGGGUCUGACGGUACCGGAUGAAUANGCCACGGCUAACCACGUG